rnacentral:lncRNA from 1 species
GGACCUCAAUGAUCGAUUGAACCGAAUUCCAGUAUAUAGCUUGCUGAUUUGAUUUUCAUUUUUUAGCAGUUAUUAGGUAAAGCUACAGUUUACAUGCAAUAUACGCAAAUAAAGAAAACUGUGAUUCUUUCCUUCGGAGUUUCAAUCUGAUUUUCAUUUCUUUCUUUCUUUCUUUCUUCUUUUUGCUAUCGAGUGCCAUCCAAAUACUAAGUUGGAGAGAUAACUAGACCUCGUUGGAAACUAAAGGUGGUAAAUGUAAGUACUAGCUCAAUUGCUUUGAUCCUUGGCAGUCGCUAUCUUUUCAAACAUAACAGCAUGUUUUAUCAGAUGAAGAAUGUGAUGCACAUUGUUAUUUUUGACUGGGUUUUCUGUUUCCUUGAUUUGAGCUGAUUCGGGAUUUGUCUGUGCUGCAGUCUAGCACCGCAAUGAUUGAUUGCACCGAAUUCCAGUUUAUAGCUUGCUAA